ensembl:lncRNA novel transcript
AUCACGUUCUUGUUCUCCCUGACUCUCGUCUGGGAAAAGGCAAUGGUUCCUUCUGGCUCCUUUGCACAUCUAGUAUUUAUUUUACCCUCAGCUCGUAGAUUUCAGAUGUACUGGGCCUGAGCAUCUGCAAAGGCCUAGGAAACAGCCAGAAUUUCAUUGUAAGCUCAAGAAUCCUGUUUCUCUGACAGAGGAAAGGAACAACAACUUGACUGGACACAUCCUAACCCAACCAUACGCUGUGUUACUUCCUCCACUGCGCCACACACAGCUAUUAUUCUAAGCUCUCUUAUUCAAACCCUUAAGGAUUUGUAAGCUCCUGACCAACUGGAAGAGAGUUCCUACCACAGAAAGAAAGGCAGCCAAGAACACAAUGUCCCGACCUAGCUCUUGGAAGUACUAAAUUUCAUCACGGAAACCACAGCCUCAAGGACAGAGGACUUAUCCAGAGUCAUCAAAUCUAUCGCUUUUUCUGCUUUCUGUUUUCUCUGAAAGAGCCGUGAAUGAUGAGACGACAAAAUAUUGGAUUAUUUGUGCUCUUGAAACAGAUGCCACCUGAGUUGUGACAG